ensembl:snRNA U6 U6 spliceosomal RNA
AUACUCGAUUCAUUUGGCAGCACAUAUCCUAAAACUGGAACAAUACAGAGAAGAUUAGCAUGGCCCCUGCACAAGGAUGACAUGCAAAUUUGUGAAGUGUUCCAUUAAAAA